GAUGAACGCUGGCGGCGUGCCUAAUACAUGCAAGUCGAGCGAACAGACGAGGAGCUUGCUCCUCUGACGUUAGCGGCGGACGGGUGAGUAACACGUGGAUAACCUACCUAUAAGACUGGGAUAACUUCGGGAAACCGGAGCUAAUACCGGAUAAUAUAUUGAACCGCAUGGUUCAAUAGUGAAAGACGGUUUUGCUGUCACUUAUAGAUGGAUCCGCGCCGCAUUGGCUAGUUGGUAAGGUAACGGCUUACCAAGGCGACGAUGCGUAGCCGACCUGAGAGGGUGAUCGGCCACACUGGAACUGAGACACGGUCCAGACUCCUACGGGAGGCAGCAGUAGGGAAUCUUCCGCAAUGGGCGAAAGCCUGACGGAGCAACGCCGCGUGAGUGAUGAAGGUCUUCGGAUCGUAAAACUCUGUUAUUAGGGAAGAACAAAUGUGUAAGUAACUAUGCACGUCUUGACGGUACCUAAUCAGAAAGCCACAGCUAACUACGUG
rnacentral:rRNA from 1 species